GAUGAACGCUGGCGGCGUGCCUAAUACAUGCAAGUCGAACGAAACUUCUGUAUCACCUAGCGCUUGCACUCGCCGAGAGAGAGUUGAGUGGCGAACGGUUGAGUAACACGUGGGCAACGGGCGCUAACGAGGGGGAAUACACUCGGAAACAGGUUCUAAUACCGCAGAACCAUCGUGAGCGCAUGGUACCUAUGUGUAAGGUGGCUGUACUACCACGUUUGGAUGGGCCCGGGGCGAAUUAGCUAGUUGGGCGGGUAAAGGCAUACCAAGGGAAGGAUGCGUAGCCGAAAUGAGAGGGUGAUCGGCCACAUUGGGACUGAGACAAGGCACACACUCCUACGGGAGGAAGCAGUAGGGAAUCUUACACAAUGGGCGAAAGCCUGAUGGAGCAACGCCGCGUGGGUGAAGAAGGACUUCGGCUCGUAAAGCCAUGUUGUUAGAGAAGAAAGAGAGCUCGAUUACCCGUUAACGUUAUGACGGUACCUAAAGAGAAAGCCCCGGCUAACUCCGUG
rnacentral:rRNA from 1 species